CCUACGGGUGGCUGCAGUGGGGAAUAUUGGGCAAUGGGCGCAAGCCUGACCCAGCAACGCCGCGUGAAGGAAGAAGGCUUUCGGGUUGUAAACUUCUUUUCUGAGGGACGAAGAAAGUGACGGUACCUCAGGAAUAAGCCACGGCUAACUACGGGCCAGCAGCCGCGGUAAUACGUAGGUGGCAAGCGUUAUCCGGAUUUCUUGGGUGUAAAGGGCGUGUAGGCGGGAACGCAAGUCAGAGGUGAAAAAUCAGGGCUCAACCCUGAGCCUGCAUUUGAAACUGUUUUUCUUGAGUGCUGGAGCGGCAAUCGGAAUUCCGUGUGUCGCGGUGAAAUGCGUAGAUAUUCGGAGGAACACCAGUGGCGAAGGCGGCUUGCUGGACAGUAACUGACGCUGAGGCGCGAAAGCGUGGGGAGCAAACAGGAUUAGAUACCCCGGUAGUC
rnacentral:rRNA from 1 species